UCGAUGGAGGCUGCAGCAUUUGGUGCCAAAUGUUUUAGUAAUUGCAGUGUUGCUCCGGGAAACCAUCGCAUCGCAAGUGUGUAAGCAAAAACAAGAAACGGCGAGAAACUUUAUCAUUCAUGUGCUAAUUUAGAGAGGAAAUAUAAUGAUGAGAAGAGAAUGAGUCUGGCCAUCAGCUCUUUGAUGUUGGCACGAGAGUUGGCAUCCUGUACGGCACUUACAUCGGUGUGUAUCUGAGAGGGUACAGCGGGGUUCUCCUCCUGUGCCGAAGGGGACCGAAUACGAGCAGCCCAGCUGAUGGAGAGGGCGGCCAGGAGCACGCAAACGCAGACGCCACUGUUCAUCCUGCCUGUAGGUGUGUUUGUGUGGUAGCAGAGAGGGAAAAAUACAUCAUGUGAGCUAGAGGUUAGGAUAGGAAAUUAAUUACAUUCCUUUCCGUACUCCACACAGCACUCGUAUGUAAUGGCAGACUGAAUGAGCUGAACCAGAAUUCCCGUGCAUGUACAAUUCAAGUCAGAAAUUGUGAGGAACAUGUUUGUCAUGGCAGCUCUGUUGUUGGAAGAAGAAUACCUACUGUGACCCCGCCCUUUUUACUGCAUAUUUGUCACACUAAAUGAUUAAACAAUCAUUACA